CACAGCGCUUAGCCAUUCAGCAGUUUAUGACCUUGGUUUACUAAGUCCUCGUAACAAGAUUACCGGAGGAGUUUUGCAAGCUUCUAGACCCAGGUGUGGCUGAAGGUCCAUGGGGUGAGAUGGCUGACUGACAGAAGGAAGUUGUUCUCUGGGGUGUGUGUGUGACCCAAAGACCAAUGGAGGGAGGAAGAACAGAUGCUCCAAAUGGCCACUGCACUUCUCCAAUGUCUGAAGAUUUCCAGAUGGACAGCACCAUCACAUGCCCACGCAGCGUGGAUACAGCAACAUCCAGGGCUCGGGUGCGGGCAUAGUCUUUGCUCCCUACUUACGGCUGUAAGCAGUCCCACCUCAGCUUCACAUCCAAGCUGGCUAAGAACCCUGGACAAAGAGAAUCUGUUGAGAGGAGCUUAGAGGAAGACAGGAGGUGAGUACACAGAGAUGCUGACUUAGUCAUGACCAUCAUGGUUACAGUGCCGGGCAGUGCUGCUGGUCAUGGUGACAGUGGUACAGGUGGUCUCAAUGUGAUGUGAUAGUGGCUUGCCAACCGAUAUUGUUGAUGUGGGUUCAGGCCUGCAGGAGAACAAUGAGCUAGACCAUCCUCUAACCUCACAUCCUAAACUUUACUGCCUUUCUUUCUUACAGCAUUUUCACCAUCUCUGUUUAUCAACAGUCACAUCCUAGCUCUGGGCACUCAUCUCUCAAUAAUAUGUUGAGAGAGGAUGGAAAAAGAAAAUCUUUCUCAUUUUCCAACUCGUACCCAUGAAGAUACAAAUAAACAAAACUCCUGACUCUUGUGAAUGUCACCAAGAAAAAAAUUAGUUUGAAGACUAACCAGUAACUCACAAGUCAACCCAGAAGUUUCUGGAAAUGAACAGGAAGCAAAGCACACCAGGGGUUGUCAGCUUUCACCGCAGCUGAGGUCUUGCACUGUCCAACCUGAUGAUGAGGUACUUCCCUGAGACCCUGGCCACCCUGCCAGCGCCAUGGCACCACUGCUAACAGGUGUGGGAUGCUGGGACCUCCACCGCCCACCUUCAGCUCAAGUCUCCAGUGUCCCCGGGCUGAUUCUCCUCACUCACUGCUCACUUGGUCCAGCUGGCCAAGCUUGGGUCCUGUGUCCACACCCCACUGCCAGGGGUCUAGGAGAGCUAGUAGCCAGCCUUUCCUGUUUCCCUGGUGGAUGGCAGAGUCCCAAUAUGAGAAGUGGGUUCAAAUGCAAGGCAGCCAAAAAACCAGGAAAUAUUUAGCUCACUCACCUAAUCCUGGCUAUUUUCAGCUGAUCAACAAACAGAAAAGCAGAAAACCCCAAAUUUGACUGCUCUAUCUGCUUAUCCUUCUGUGAGCCCUUCUAAGCAGGCUUUGGAGAAUAGCCCCACAUGCAGCUGUGGGGUUUAAUUGAAUCCUGUUCAGGAGGAAAAGAUAGAGGUGGUUGUCAGGCAUGUGGCUCAGUUGACUAUUCAGAGUUGGAGUCUUUGCUUUUGGGCAGUGAGGUCUCAGGAGCCAGGGGACCUCGGCCAGUCCCAGUGAACUGAAUGAAGGGUCACUAGCAGAAGCAAGAGGCACCAUGGGGCCCCAGGAAGAUCAGGAGCCUGGACGUGCCUAGUUCCAGCACAUUCUGUGGAGCUGUUCACCAGCCAAGGAGCCGGGAAGUCUGGGUUCCAGCCCAGCCCUGCCUUUGCUUCUGGCAUAACUUUGAGCAGAUCUUUCAACUUUUGUGACUCAGUUUACUCAUUUGCCAAAUGGAGAUAAUCAUAUGGCACUCAAAAGACUUUUGUAAGACUCUAAUGAGUGUUUAUAAAGCACUUUGGAGAGGUUUAUAGUUAUUUGAGCUGGGAAAGGAAUUACAAAUUAUUCAGGAGUAAACAGUAUUUAGAAUCUGAAUUUUUCAGCCACCAACAGGUUUUCCUAGAUGUUUACAAGACUGUCAUAACAGGACACCCUGGGGUUCCAUCCGUGCCACUUGGUUGCAUUCAGAGCAGCUCUCCUCCCUGAAAAGCGUAUCACAGGCUUGGGGAGGGUCAUGCAACCACAUAUGGCACAUUUUGCAGCUCUCAAGACAAGAGAAUGACUGGAUUUAGAAAUGGAAGCCGCACACUCAAGACUUUCAUUUUCUUUUUUGUUUUUUUUUCCUUUCUUCAUUUUAAUUUUACUUUUGAAACUGGUGAUAGCAUCAGAGCAAGUCUCCAUAGACCUGCUUUGAAAGCCAGAUAGCCUGGCAUGGUUGCAUGCACGUAUAAUCUCAGCUACUCUGGAGACUGACGUGGGACGAUCACUCGAGCCAGGAGGUCAAGGCUGCAGUGAGCUAGGAUGGCACCACUGCUCUCCAGCCUGGGCAACAGAGCAGGAAGACCCUGUCUCAAAUAAAUGAAUAAAUGAAUGAGUAAUAAAUAAAUGCUAGAUAAACCUGAUUUCUCCCCAACUAUAACACCUCUUCCCAAACUGGAUGUCUGCUAUCCCUACCUCCAUGAGAAUUUGCGCUGCAUGUGAUAAUAACAGAUACCCAUUCACAAGGAAACACAUUUCAUUCCCACAGGAGUUUGGAAUUUUAAAACAUAGAGUACUUGUGUGUAAGGAGAAAAAUAAUAAAAUCUGCUGAGUCUUCAUGUG